GUGCGCGUGCACCUCCGUCUAGCGUGUGUGUGCAUGCGUGCUCGUGCAUGUGGUGGGUGGGCUGGGGGAGAGGAAGUUACACUGUGGUUGGAGAUUUUGCAGGAACAAGCACUGGGCCCAAGGAUGGGGCACCGAGGACACAGCGCAGAGUCUGCGCAUCAUCCUGCAGGGCCUGUGGAGACACAGGGACAAUUUAAGCAGGGAAGUGUGUGGUCAGGAGCGUGUUUUGGGAAGCUCACCCGGAGAGCACUGUGGAGGGUGGGUGUGGGAGUGGCAGUGAGAGGGGAAGUUAGGAGCCAUCGCAAAAUGCCAGGAGGAAGCCAGUGACGGUUAGUGGGGGCAAGCGGCCAUAGGGGAGGACACGGGUGCCCCAGAUGAAGGAGGCAGAAUCUCCAGGACCAGGGAACAGGCUAGAUGUGAGCACUGAAAGCAAGGGGGCGUGCACAUGGGGCUCAGGUUCCAGCUAGCAUGCCUGUGUGGGCACUGAGUCCCUUCCCCUGGAUAGACGGGACAGUACAGAGGAACAAGAGCUGGGCUUGGGGCCAAGGGGCUUUGAGUGGAAGACUUUGAGAACCAAAGUCCUUAAUUCUCUCCAUUCUAUUGUCCCAAAGCUAAAGAAGUGGGAAUGAGUACCCCAUCCCUGGCAGUAUUCAAGCCUAAUCAGAUGACCUCUUAGCAGGGAUUGUUUCGAGGGUUUUUCUGUCCUGGGAGGGCAGGUGGAGGGUGUCUUCGUCAGCCUGGGCCGUCCUCCAGAGCACAAAUUGCUGAAGAUUUGCUGUGAUUUGAGAAUUGCCGAGAUUCUCACAGUCCUAGUGGCCAGAGGUCCAGAUUGAGGUCUGGCAGGGUCAGGUUCCAGUGAGAAGGUGACCUAGAGAGAGUGCUGGUCUCUUCUUGUAAGGCCACAAUCCAACUGCUUCCUAGGAAAGAGCCAGCAAGGGGAGGCAGGGCCUGACCUUGGUCAUGGACCUCCUGGCCGAGGGAGUGCGUGGGGAACGGAAGACACACCUGUGCAUGGGCUGGUCCCGUCUCUGCUGCUCGGCAUCUCGUCACCCCGCGGAAGUCACCUUGGUGCCAGCAAGAGGCUCCGGGCGCCCCGCGGCUGCUGCCGGUGCAUCUAAUUAGUCCUGCCCUCCAGCUGACAGCUCUCACCCUCUGACUAAAUGGCAGUUUCCCCCCAAGUGCUUCCCUCUGGCAAAGCUAAAUAUUAAUUAUCUCCCUUUAUUUCAUGAUUAUUCACGGGCGCCCGUGUCACCCCAUCCCAGAGACGUUGGCGCCGGGAGAUGUGAAGAGUGGUUCAUUGUAGGAGCUGCCUAGCCAUCCUGGAGCCCAUCAGACUGUCCUUGCCUGAGGAGCCCGGUCUGUCUGUCCCCGGGUUACCGCGGAGCUGUGCCUGAUGCCUGGGUCGACGUCCCAGGGGGAGUUUCAGGGUCCAAGGGAAGAGAUGCAGUUUGCCCUGCCAGAAGCGUGGGGGAAAGGCUCUCCCCCAGAACAGCCGGAGACUGUUCUCACCUGGACGACUCCUGCACUGUUCCCCUGCUGCCAGGUGAACAGAAACCCCUAGGGCACCCAGGGCGCUGCGGGCGACGUGCAGGCAUUGGGGACGGAGGCAGAGCCAGAAGAUACGGCCUGCUGUGUGUGCGGGGGUAGGUCUAAACCCAGACACGUGGCAGGAGCCGACUCUGGACCUCUGGGGGUUAGGUGGGGUAGGUUGUGAGUCUUUGUGCCCUGGCGUGUCUAUGGGAGGGGGCAUUUUGCACAUGGGGGUGUCAGUAAGGGGAACGAAAGGGCCUUUCUCCGCCUGAUGCACCCUCUUGGCAUAUGGGGUUCACCUGAUACCCGCUCAUCGUUCAUUGAUUGAGACACAGCCGAGGGGGUGCUGCUUGUCCCUUAACUCUGGGCUGCUGUCCCUCCCAGGGCUGCCGGCGCCGAGGAUGCCAGCAGAUGGCCCGAGUUCCCAGCGUGGCCAGUGGACAAUGCAACCAAGCAUUCCCAUCACUUCCAAGUAACAGAGCAGGUGACAGGGCUGACCGGCCACGGGCCUCUGGUGGGUGCUCGGGCCCAUGUGCCCACCCGCCUUGACUCAUCUGCCACACAGAGGGAGAGGCAGGAGGCAGUGUCACAGAGGACGGAAGACCACAGGAGGGUCCAGGGCACCUGGCGGUCUACCCCGGCCAGCCUUCCUCACCAGGCCCACCUGUGAACGCCCCUUGUCUCUCGGACCCUUGGCUUCUUCAUCUGUGAAAUGGAGCCGGUCGCUUUGCAUUUUCACACCGAAAGGAAAUUUGAACCCGCAACCACCUGACCACAGCUCCCAGGACGCAGGCGUGGGAGAUGCCAAAGGCCAGCGAUGAACAGAGGGCAGGAGAGGACACGCGCUCCCCGUAGCUCUGGUCUAGAAGAAAGAGCUCUAGAACUUGGUUAGAAUCCCAGCAAACUCCAGGGAAGCCCUGGGGUGUCACCCCUGUGAGAGGCCUCUGCUGCCUUGCAGGGGACACUGACUGUCCUUGGAUCCCUGAUUCGCAGGCGCUGGCGAGGCCCCGGAAACUCUCCAAAUAGGUGUCACGUGUGGGCAGUUAAGAAGAACGGCCCUGGUUGGGGAACCAAACAUCUCUGCACAUAAACCUUUGAUGGAGAAGAGCUGUGAGUGUUUGCAGAAUACCUCCUCUCCUCCCUGCCCUGCUGGCCACUGGCCAAGCUACC